rnacentral:rRNA from 1 species
UACGUAGGGACCGAGCGUUGUCCGGAAUCAUUGGGCGUAAAGAGCGUGUAGGCGGCCACUUAAGUCCUGCGUGAAAUCUUGCGGCUCAACCGCAAGCGGUCGUGGGAAACUGGGUGGCUAGAGUGCGGGAGAGGAGAGUGGAAUUCCUGGUGUAGCGAUGGAAUGCGCAGAUAUCAGGAAGAACACCAGUGGCGAAGGCGGCUGUCUGGUCCGGUUCUGACGCUGAGGCGCGAAAGCGUGGGGAGCAAACAGG